rnacentral:rRNA from 1 species
UAUAGAGCUAUGCAGCUCCAACCCAUGUGAACAUAUCUCUUUGUUGCCUCGGCGCAAGCUACCCGGGACCUCGCGCCCCGGGCGGCCCGCCGGCGGACACACCAAACUCUGUUAUCUUCGUUGAUUAUCUGAGUGUCUUAUUUAAUAAGUCAAAACUUUCAACAACGGAUCUCUUGGUUCUGGCAUCGAUGAAGAACGCAGCGAAAUGCGAUAAGUAAUGUGAAUUGCAGAAUUCAGUGAAUCAUCGAAUCUUUGAACGCACAUUGCGCCCAUUAGUAUUCUAGUGGGCAUGCCUGUUCGAGCGUCAUUUCAACCCCUAAGCACAGCUUAUUGUUGGGCGUCUACGUCUGUAGUGCCUCAAAGACAUUGGCGGAGCGGCAGUAGUCCUCUGAGCGUAGUAAUUCUUUAUCUCGCUUUUGUUAGGUGCUGCCCCCCCGGCCGUAAAACCCCCAAUUUUUUCUGGUUGACCUCGGAUCAGGUAGGAAUACCCGCUGAACUUAAGCAUAUCAAAAGUCGGAGGA